GCAGGGGCUCCAGCCGACGGUUCCAAUAGUGCUGUGGCGGCGGGAAGGGGGGAAAGAGCGAGGGGGGAUGAUGACAGGUCCUGAGACAGGGGACCGGCCCUGAGGGUGGCGGGUCCGGGGCGCCAGUGGGGUCCCUGAGGAGGAGGACGGGUCUCCAGCGGGACAGGUCCUGGGAGGACACAUCUAGGAUGCUGAGCGUCAGCUCCUGGGGUGGGUUUGCAUCCUAGGGACCUUGGUCCUGAGGGGUGUGAGAAGAGUUUUGGGGGGCUGGCUGGGGUUCUUAUUGAGGGAUGGGUCCUGGGGCGAGGGGUCGGGGAAGGUCAGAGGAGACCCUGAGAGGGUGGACCAACUUUGAGACGGGAAGGAAGCCCCUGGUUUGGGGGAAGCGCAGGGACAGGGAGGUGGGGAGCAGGGGUGGUGAAAGCCCUUCUGGGAAAAGGAUGUAGGCUGCCCCCUGCCUCAGGAACUUCUGGCAGCCUGCAGCCCAAGAGAGGACGGGGAGGGGGCGCAGCAGGCAGUGGGGGCUGGGGAACAGAAUGGCCUUAGGUGAAGGAGGAGUGGGGGAGGUACUAGGAGAAGCAGCAACAGAGCCCCCACCCCCGGCUGCCCUGCCUGAUGGCCUGUCCUGUCCUGACCACAUCUGUGUUGGGAGCCAGGCGGACCAGUGGGGGCAGGGGCAAGUCCACUUUAGUCACCUGAGCACUCAGUGUGGCCUCGUUUAGUCCCUCCUCCCACAGCCCUGACUUCCCAUCCAUCCUGACGCAUCCCAGCGCCGGCUGGGGAGCACGAGGCCUUGAAGUCCUAACCUAAUUCCAUCCUGGCUCUUCCUCCCACCUGCCAUGUUCACGGGGCCAAGGGCUGAACCUCUUGGCACCUGUUUUUUCCCUGUGAAGUUAAUGCGGCCACAGCCACGGUAUCGUCACCUCCCACUGCUCCGCUGGCCCACACUGACCAUGAAGUGGUGCCCGUGCCCAGCUCAGAAGAACACGGCACCUGGUCUUGGCGUCCCUGCUGACCUCCAGCACGCUGCCGUGUUUCUUUUCUCUGCAUCAACAGCUCGGCUGUCCCUGUUUCCCUCUGUGAGGUGCCCAAACUCGUCCUUAGGUCUGCCUGCCAGUGAGGCGAGCGGGAGUGAGCGUCCCUGCCACCUCCCCGCCCCCACCCCGGCGAGCGCUGCUGGGGCAGGUUGGUGGCCGCUUUUAUGAGCCACAGCCCACAGCCGGGAAUGCCAGGAACGCCGGGAGCUCCUGGAGCACUGGGAGCUCAUAGACAGCCAGAUGCAGGUGCCGGGCUCCUCUCUCAGUUCCUUCCACGCUCACUCUGUCGCAGACCUUCCUCGUCUUCCACUGGCGGAGGAUGUCGUGUUUACAGGGAAGACGGAAGCCCUGGUUCUGGAGCUUCUGCAGCCCCCUGCCCUCUUUCUCCUCCAGGGCAGGGGCAGGGCUGCCCUCCUCCCCUCUGGGAAGUGCCCCUGUUUUCUUAGGCACCUUCCAGCGCCUUUCCCAGUGUCUUCCCCCCCGAAGGUAACGAACUCUGGCGCACUUGGCUCUUGCCCUCAGGGCCUGGGCCGCUUGUGUCUGGUGGGGUUCAAGUCUAACCAAGCUUGUUCCCACCAGGUCAUCGGAGGCCCCCACGUCUUUAGCACUUUUGUUGCCUAACCUCUCCGCAGCCUUUACUCUGUUGGUGCUCUGCCCCUCGUAGCUGUGUCUUGGCCUCCGUGACAUUACACAUUGAGGUUUUGUCUCUUUGCUUCUCUCCUGUGCUGGCUCUGCUGUCCCUUCCCAGCUGGCCUCCCCCUCCUGUGGCUUCAGCGGUGAACUCUCUUGAACCUUGUCCCUCCGGCCCUGAUGUGUCCUGGAGCUCAGCUCAGAGGUUGCCGCACGCAGGUGUCGUGUGUGCUCCCAGCCCGAGUGGGCCCACGCUGCUCAUGGGCACCCACAAGCCCAGGCUGUGUGUCCUUUUGCGGCCCUUGGGGGGGAGGGGUGCAGAGCUGGGAACCACAGGCUUUACGAGGACACAGAACGCAGGGGGUCCCAGAAAGAGGAAGUGGAGGCUGAGCUCACAAGAGCAAAUCAAGAACAGAAGCCUGAUGCCACGAGGAAGGCGAGUCCCAAGGAGCGGGCCAGGGAGCAGGCAGAGCGAGGAAGUGGCCAGAGAAGGUUCUUGCGAGGCCCCCCGCAGGGAUCUUUCCUGGCCGGACGAGGGGAUGGGACGGAGACUUCUGCAAUCUCUCUCGGGAGGUCACAGCGCCCGUCACCCAGCCACUUCUGCCAGAACUCCCUCUUUUGUCCCUCACGUCCCCCACUUCGUUUUCUUAAGUAACUCAAGGGAUUUCUCUACCCCUGGUUCCCACAUGGCCUCCCACCUGGAUGAGUGCAAGAGCCUUGGCCUCCGCCAGCUCCCUGCCUCGCUCUGGCCUCCUGCGGAUCCCUUUCCCGCCCAGCAGGACUGAGCUUUCUGCAGCAUAAGCAUGGUUGCCCUGCCAGAAACUUCCCGGCCCUGCCGGCUGCCUUUAGGAGUAGGUCACCUGCGGUCUUUGCUGAUCUGACUUCUGCUGACCUUGUCAGCCUCAUUGUUCACUGCUCACUGGCCCUGACACCCCCACUCACAGGUACAACUGCACAGACACUCCUGCUCACACAUACAACCUCACACUCACGGAUACAACCUCACACUCACACUCACAGAUACAACCACACACACACACUCAUGCAGAGGCCCAGGUGGCAGAGACAAAGAGCAGAGUCGUCCUUUCAGGGAAGGAGGGCAGUUUCAGGCCGGCCUGUUGCCAGAAGGGCCCUCAGGAGGGCAGGGUGCAGGGCCUGUGACGAGAACAGAGGGCACAGGGCUUCUCUGGCACAGGGAGGGCGCUGUAGGGAGGGGAAGGUGUGGUGGGACAACCAUGGAAUUUUAUCACCUGCUUGCCCUGUGUGACCUUCCCCGACGCGCUGUCAGCAGUGGCGUGGCCACCGCCAGUCGCCCUCUGUUAUCUUUAGUGCCAACCGGUUUCCGCCCCCUGCUUUCCGGCCUUCCCGCACCUCCCUGUUCCUAUCACCGCAUGCAGCUGUGCAGCGUCCCUGGCCUGCUGGCCUCUGGGAGCCGUCCUGGCUCGGUCCCCACACAUCACCACUUCAGUGGCUUUUCUGCAAACACCUGCUGCUUCUUGGCUUUUUCCAAGUCACCCUGGCCUGUAGGUGUUCUGUGGCCGCAGGGCUUGGUCACACUCUUAUGCCUCCCAGACCCCAACUUCAGUCCUGGCCUCUGACCCUGGCCCCUGGACUUGGGCUGUCGUUUGCCUCCUGGCCACCUCUAGGUGCAGAGGAAUGGGGGUGCUGAGGGGGAGGGUGGGGGAGGGGGAGGGGCCGAGGGGCGUGACAUAUUGGACCUCGCAGGGUGGCUCAUUUGGAUUCCAGAGCUAGGAAAUUCUCUGUCUUUGGGGCUGCUUGGAAGUCCAGCUGAGGGGAGAGGAGAGGCCGGGCUGCAACCAUCGGGGUGGGUGGGGCUUCCGUCCCUGUGGUCCUGUGUGCUCACCUGGCCUCCCCUCACCUGCUGGGGCCACCAUCCCGGCAGCUAGGAGCUGUGCCCUCUCUCCGGGGCUUCCCGAGACCCUGCCCUCCCUUCCCGCUGUCUUACAGUUUCCCAGGCGUUGAGAAGGGCUGGCCGCUGCCUCGCCAAGCCCCAAGCUGAACCCGCUGAUGCCCAGGCCACCUGCUUGUGUCUUGAUCGCCGACUUGAGCUCGUGAUUCUCCCGAAUGAGCCGCACCAGCUUCUUCAGCUCCUCGUUCUCCCUCACCAGCCUCUCGAUCUGAUGCCGAAGGCCCUCAUAAUUGGCUUCCCUGCGGCCAUGUCUCUACCGUGGCGCUUACCUGGCUCUGUGCAGCUCGGCUCCCUCUACAGUGAAGCCGGGGGUCGGGCACCUCCCCAGCAGCCAGCAAAGGGCCCAGGUGCCCGGCAGGUCGGUGACUCGUGGAUAGCUGUUGAGUGAAAGCUCAUCGCCCACCUUCCUGGCCAGGGUGCCCUUUCCUUGAGAGGUUGGACACCCCUGGAUUUAGCCUGUCAGCCUCAUCCCGGGGACAUUCUACCUUGGAUACUUGGACACUGGGCAGACUUUCUUCCAACCGAGGUGCUCAAAGCCUUUCUCCGACUGCCGAUCCCAGGGCUCCCUUGUCCAAGCACCUGUCCAUUUCUGGUGACGUAGGGUCCCCUAUUCCAAGUCCCCCAGGGCAGCCCUCUGUGCCCACACUUCCGUUCUCUGACUCCUUGAAUUUUCCUGACUGUGGUCCUUCGAGAACUCAAGACAUGCCCCUCGUCAGGUUGUCAGGUUCCGAGAGUUCAGUCCUGUGAGUCCUCACCACGCUCCCUUUUUUAGAGCUAUCAACGCAGAGAUCUUGGCGGGCCUGACCUUGGGAGUCAAGUGCGCCAGCGUCCCAGGGAUCUCCACUGGCUCUGCAGGCGUCUGUUCUCAGACGGAGAGGACAGUGAAGCCCAGGUCUAAGGCGGAGGGCGCGCUCCUGGUAGGCAGGUGGGGGUGAGGGUGGGCUUGGAGUCAGCCUGAGGUGAGCAUUCUACCUGGACCUCACAAUGGGGCCUGCCCCCACCCCCUCCGACACCCCAGACUGUAAUCCUGCUGAGUGACCCCGGCCCCGGAGGCCCGGCCCGACGUCUCUUCAGCACUGUCUGUUUAUAGGACACCCUCCAGCGUGGGAGAACGAGCCUCUCACGGCCUUCCCGGCCGCCUGUACCAGCCAGCCCUGCCUCACCGUUGGCUUCUCCGUGGGUUGAUGCGUCUGGGCUGCUUGAAUCGAUGGCUCGGCGUGGCCGGGCUGUGGUGCCCAGGUGCUUGUCACACACUCGCUCGCACAUUGCUGUGAAAGAACUUUGUAGAGCGGUUAACAUCUACAAUCGUUGAUUUUAAGUCAAGGAAGCUACCUUCAAUCAUGUGGACAGACCUCAUCUGAUCAGUUGAAGGACUUAAGAGCAGAAAGCUGAGGUUUUCCAGGGAAGGAGGACGUUGGCCUCAGGGCCGUCCCUGAGAGCCUGCCUGAGUGUCCAGGCCACUGGCCUGCUCUGCGGAUUUGGACUUGUCGGCCCCGCAUAAUUAUACGUGACGGUUCCUUAAAAUAAGUCUCUUCACACACGAGAAACCUGACUGGCCCAUCUGUAUUGGGUACCAGGGCUCCUGUCCUCCCCAAACUGCUGAGCCCGGCUGUGCGGCAGGCCCUGCGUGGGAGUCCCGGUAUUGUAGGCCCGAAGCUGGGAGCGCGCCGUGCGUUCACCACACUGGAAUUAAAAUAAAACAUUUUAAAAAUAGAACAGGAAAAAAAA